rnacentral:lncRNA from 10 species
GUCCUGGGACGUGCACAGACAGCUAAGAUGCCAGGACAUUCCAGAAGCACCUGAGUAAUUUGACUCUCCUGCCUGGACCCAGCGUACAGAUGGGAUUGUGCUUCAUUGCUGGACCCAGCAUUUAGGGAUCGUCACUCCCGUGGAUGAUCAAAGGCGCCUGUAAUUUCAGCUACUCCGGGGGCUGAGGCAGGAGAAUCGCUUGAACUCGGGAAGCAGAAGUUGCAGUGAGCCAAGGUCGCACCACUGCACUCCAGCCCAGGCGACAUUGUGAGACUCCAUCUCAAAAAAAAAAAAAAGAAAAAAAGUGUACUAACAAGACCCAGCACACAGAGGAGACUUUUACCAUUGUAUGAACACCCAUCAAACAGUACACAUCAUCAUUGUGAGUUCUGAAUCUCACACAUAGAGGAAGUCAAAGGUGGAAAACUUGACUCUCAUAUUUGGAUCCAGUCCACAGGUGUGAUUUUGACGCACACUUCUGCCCAGCACCUGAGUAAUGUGAUUCUUCAGAAUUGGCCCGGCCCACAAAUAGGAUUGUGCCACACUGCUGGACCCAGUGCCUAAGUGAUGUAACUCUAUUCUUCUGCCUUGGUGCUACUCGAAAAAGACAUUGUAACAUAUCUCAGAGCCUUACACCCAGGUAAUGUGAGUCUCCUCUUCUGCCUUGCUGCUGCACACAGAAGCGGAAUAUGUACAGGAUUGUUAAUCUCAUCUUGGAUCUUCCUGCACUUGUGAUUGUGACACAUGCCUCUGUGUAGAACCUGAGUGAGUUUACUCUCCUGCCUGGAUUUAACCCAUAGAUGGAAUCGUGACAUAUCACUGUACCAGAAACUAGGUGAUGUGACUCUAUUUUCUUGCCUCUGUGUUUUUAUAUGGGGCAUCGUGACAUAUCACUGGGCCUUGCACCCAAGUGAUGGGAGUUUUCUCUCCUGCUUUGGUGCCGUCCACAAUGAAAAUUGUGAAAUAUUGCUGCCCUCCCCACUAGGUUAUGUUACUCUCCUGCCUCUGCUUUGCCCACAUGGGUCACUGUGACAUAUUGCUGGGUCUAAAACCCAGGUAAUGUCACUCUCUUGUUUGGGUUCUGCCUGCAGGAGUCAUUGUCACAUAUCUCUAUGCUCAUCACCCAGGUAAUAUGAUUCCCUUUUACUGCUUAGUUCCUUCUCACAAAACAACUUGUGACAUAUUGCUAGGCCCAAUACACCUAGCUGGUGUAACUCUUCUUUUCUUUUCUUUCCUUUUUUUUUUUUUUUUUUUGAGAUGGAGUCUCACUCUGUUGCCCAGGCUGGAGUGCAGCGGCAUGAUUUCAGCUCACUACAGCCUCUGCCUCCUAGGUUGAAGCGAUUGUCCUGACUUGGCCUCCCAAGUAGCUGGGAUUAAAGGCAUGUGCCACCACGCCCGGCUAAUUUUUGUAUUUAUAGUAGAGACAGGGUUUCGCCAUGUUGGCUAGGCUGGUUUCGAACUUCUAACCUCAGGUGAUCCUCCUGCCUCGGCCUCCCAAAGUACUGGAAUUACAGGCAUGAGCCACUGCACCUGGCCUGAUUCUUCUCUUCUUUCUAGGUUUCAACUGCAGCAGAGAUUGUAACAAACCACUGGGCCCAGCCGCAUAAUGAUGUUACUCUUUUGCCUUGGGCCUGCCCUCAGAAGGCACUGUCACAUAUUCAUGGGCCCAACGCCAAGGUGAUAUGUGUCUCCAGCCUGGACCCUGCCCACAGGGGGCAUUGUGACAUAUCUCUUGGCCCAUCAGAUGUUUGAUUGUUAUCCCCUCCCCUCUUCUACCCUGUGUUUGCCUAUAAAAGACACAGUCAUAUGUUCCUGGGCCCAGCACCUAGGUGUUGUCUUACUGGAAUGUGUCCACAUGGGGAUUGUGAUAUGUCACGUGGCCCAGUACUUAACUUGAUGUGACUCUCCUCUCAUGCCUAGGCCUUGUAGAGAAUCCCCUUCCCCUUUUGUUUUCCUUUUUUUCUUUGCAGAUCCAGGAGAUAAUCAACUAAGAGCCAGGCACCCGUUUAGGUCUAAUAAACAUUUUACAAACUGCUCUCUCUUUUAAUUCACCUAUCUGAGAGAUUCCUCUGUACAAUAAAACUUGGUCUCCACAAUCCUUUACCUUAACCUAAACCUUCCCUUUCAUUGAUCCCAGGUCUUCAGAUUCCACCACUUGUCAACCACAAAAUAUUUAAAUUUACCUGGAAGCCGCCCGCUUUGAGUUGUCCCGCCUUUCUGAACCAAACCAAUAUAUUCCUGCAAAACCGGCCAUGAUUAAAACAUCAAAAAAUAAUACAUGUUGGCGUGGCUGUGGUGAAAAAAGAAUACUUUUUCACUGCUGGUGGGUAUGUAAACUAGUACAACCACUAUGAAAAACAGUAUGGAGAUUCAUUAAAUAAAAGUAAAGCUACCAUUUGAUUAAGCAAUUCUACUACUGUGUAUCUACAUGAAGAAAAAGAAAUUAUAUGUGUAAGACACUUGCACACACAUGUUUAUAGCAGCACAAUUUGCAAUUGCAAAAAUAUGGAAGCAGCCUAAUGCCCAUCAGCUAAUGAGUGGAAAAAGAAAAUGUGGCAUAUAUAUACCAAUGCAUACUACUCAGCCCUAACGAGGAAUAAAAUAAUAGCAUUUGCAGCAAUCUCGAUUUAGUUGGAGACCAUUAUUCUAAGUAACUCAGCAAUAAAAAA